UGAAGGGACAAGGGCUAUAACACUUUUCAAACACACCCUCCUCUUCCUUCCUAUAUAAGCCCUUGACAACAACAUAACUAUCUGUUCCGAGGAUAUGAGGAUGACGAUCCUAUGUCAGAAUGGUUCAGAUAAAACUACAGAACGAAGCCAACAUCAGCAUGAGCUUUGGUUGCGAAUGGUAUGAACUUUGAACUCUUAUUCACGACAGAAGUGAUACCUCCUAGCCGUUGCGUUAGCGACCGCAGCUGAAAACGCAGGUUAGGACGGAACAGACAGAGUAUCCCAUCUACCACACAACGACGUUACUACAACUUAUCCAAGUGACCACCAGAGACAUUCUUCAAAGGACAGAGGACUCGGUUUGGCAACACAGUCUUCCAUCUACCACCAACCUACUGAAGCGCAGCUCAGAGGGACUAUUGAUUACGACCAUAAUUGGGAAUAAGAUGGAGACAUACAGUACCAGUCAAAGGACAAUGACCCAACACACCUCCAGACUGUGUAAGGGCUAUUUGAUCAAGAAGGAGAGUGAUGGAGUGCUGCAUCAGAUGACCUGGCCUCCACAAUCACCCGACCUCAACCCAAGUGAGAUGGUUUGGGAUGAGUUGGACCGCAGCGUGAAGAAAAGCAGCCAAGUGCUCAGCAUUGGUGGGAACUCCCUCAAGACUGUUGGAAAAGCAUUCCAGGUGAAGCUGGUUGAGAGAAUGCCAAGAGUGUGCAAAGCUGUCAUCAAGGCAAAUGGUGGCUACAUUUUGAUUUGUUUAACACUUUUUUGGUCACUACAUGAUUCCAUAUGUGUUAUUUCAUAGUUGUAAUGUCUUCACUAUUAUUCUACAAUGUAGAAAAUAGUAAAAACAAACUAAAACCCUUGAAUGAGUAGGUAUGUGCAAACUUUUGGCUGGUACUGUACAUAGUUGGAACAGUUGCCUAUUACCUUUGAAACAUAAUGUUUUGAUUUUUCACCAUCUUCAUUGCAGUCCGAAUCUGUGUACACAACAGAUGCAAGAUAUUAUGCAAUUGUUCAAAGCUCCUGGUACAGUAUGUGAUGCAGUAAAGGUCAUCACUAGUGUGUUUAAUCUGCCGUCUGCCAUCCUCAUCUCAUGUUGCCUGCUUCUACAUGUGAUUCAUGUAUUACAGUAAGUCAACAUGGAUACAUGUUGGUAUGUACAUCAAACGGUCAUCAUUCAAAACAGACAAGAUUAAAUUGAAUUAACCAUUUCUGUCAAAACCUACCAUGGUUCAAUGAUAUCAGUAGUUAUGUAGGCCAUAGUGGUUAAGAAAUCCCUGUCCAAUCACUGUCACUUUGUCAGCCACUGCGUUUUGAUGCUGCAGGCAGAGAAUUACAUUGCUAUUGAUGUACCUCCACCUAGUGUCAAGAAAGGAUUAUUGCGCAUUAUACAACUGAUCCAUUUUACAUGAGUCAUUGUAGGAGCAUCAUCUAACAUAAGAAUAUUUUGUCCCAUAUCCUUCAGCAGGUUGACUCUGUCUUAGUCUGUCUCAUGUCAACACAUAGUCCCAUUGAUAAAAAUGAAGUAUUUGGAGUAGGAAUUGUGUGUGUUUUUGUGUGCAUGACUACACUACGCAUUUAAUUUCUCUCCUGUAAUUAUAUAAUAUAGGCCCCAUAACCUCUCCAUUAUGCUCCAGAACUCACAAAUCACAGUGGACCACCGUGCCUUCAGUAUGUCAUUAAUUUAAUGGUUGGGUGGUGUUCUGGGGGCAGUUCACUGUGGCUGCAUUCACACAGGCAGCCCAAUUCUGUUUUUUUUUUUUACUAAUUGAUCUUUUGACCAAUCAGAUCAGUGGUGAAAAAGAUCUGUGAGAAGUUCUGAUGUGAUUGGUCAAAAGAUUCAUUAGUGGAAAGAAUUGAGCUGCCUGUGUAAACGUAGCCUUAGAUCCCUGCUAUCCUGCUCACUGAACCCUCCUACUAAUCACAAUGCCACAAGUGAAUUAGUAGAACAGAACCAUACAUCAAGAUAAAGUUCAACCUUUAUGCUGGUUCAGGUUCAUUUAAUCCAGUAUUUUAUCUUAAUCCAGACCAUAAUGGAUAUACAGUAGGUGAUCAGGUGCUGUACCUUUGACUUUCUGUUUACAGUGCGCUACAAUUCAGGGGUCAGUGAAUUCAGGAAGUGAUUUUAAUUCAUGUCAAAAACUUUUUAUACAGUAGGUUCUCCAUUUGAGUUUAUCGAGAAGUCAUUGGAAAUAGAAGACCAUUUUUCAAUUAUUGAAUUGGAAUUUCAGUCUGCUUUCUGAAUUGACUGACUUCAAUUCCAAUUGACCCCAACCCUGCUACAAUGCUAAACCUAUGAGACAGUUUUUCCACAUUUUGUUACGCUACAACCUUACUCUAAAAUGUAUUAAAUUGUUUAUUCCCCCUCAUCAAUCUCCACACAAUACCCCAUAAUGACAAAGCAAAAACAGGUUUUUAGAAAUAUCACAUUUGCAUAAGUAUUCAAACCUUCGACUCAGUACUUUGUUGAAGCACCUUUGGCAGAGAUUACUGCAUCGAGUUUUCUUGGGUAUGACACUACAAGCUUGGCAAACCUGUAUUUGGGGAGUUUCUCCCAUUCUUCUCUGCAGAUCCUCUCAAGCUCUGUCAGGUUGGAUGGGGAGUGUUGCUGCACAGCUAUUCAGGUCUCUCCAGAGAUGUUUGAUCGGGUUUAAGUCCGGGCUCUGGCUGGGACACUCAAGGACAUGCAGAGACUUGUCCCGAAUCCACUCCUGCGUUGUCUUGGCAGUGUGCUUAGGGUCAUUCUCCUGUUGGAAAGUGAACCUUCGCCCCAGUCUUACGUCCUGAGCACUCUGGAUCAGGUUUUCAUCAAGGAUCUCUCUGUACUUUGCGCCGUUCAUCUUUGCCUUGAUCCCGACUAGUCUCCCAGUCCCUGCCGCUGAAAAACAUCCCCACGGCAUGAUGCUGCCACCACCAUGCUUCACUGUAUGGAUGGUGCCAGGUUUCCCCCAGACGUGACGCUUGCCAUUCAGGCCAAAGAGUUCAAUCUUGGUUUCAUCAGACCAGAUAAUCUUGUUUCUCAUGGUCUGAGGGUCUUUAGGUGCCUUUUGGCAAACUCAAAGUGGGCUGUUAUGUUUAUUUUACUGAGGAGUGACUCCCGUCUGGCCACUCUACCAUAAAGGCCUGAUUGGUGGAGUGCAGCAGAGAUGAUUGUCCUUCUGGAAGGUUCUCCAAUCUCCACAGAGGAACUCUGGAGCUCCGUCAGAGUGACCAUCGGGUUCUUGUCACCUCCCUGACCAAGGCUCUUCUCCCCCGAUUGCUCAGUUUGGCCGGGCGGCAAGCUCUAAGAAGAGUCUUGGUGGUUCCAAAUUUCUUCCAUUUAAGAAUGAUGGGAGGCCACUCUGUUCUUGAGGACCUUCAAUGCUGCAGAAAUUUUUUGGUUUUUGGUACCGUUCUCCAGAUGUGUGCCUCGACACAAUCUUGUCUCGGCACUCGACAGACAAUUUCUUCAACUUCAUGGUUUGUUUUUGCUCUGACAUGCACUGUCAACUGUGGGACCUUAAUAUAGACGGGUGUGUGCCUUCCAAAAUCAUGUCAAUCAAUUGAAUUUACUACAGGUGCACUCCAAUCAAGUUGUAAAAACGUCUCAAGGAUGAUCAAUGGAAACAGGAUGCACCUGAGCUCAAUUUCGAGUCUCAUAGCAAAGGGGCUGAAUACUUAGGUAAAUAUGGUAUUUCUGUUGUAUAUUUUUAAUAAAUGUGCUAAAAAAUGUAAAAACCUGUUUUCGCUUUGUCAUUAUAGGGUAUUAUGUGUAGAUUGAUGAGGGGAAACCAUUAUUUAAUCCAUUUUAGAAUAAGGCUGUAAUGUAACAACAAUUUGGAAAAAGUCAAGAGUUCUGAAUACUGACUGAAGGCACUGUAUACCUAUCUGUAAGCUACUUUAUAUUCAAAAUCAAUCUAUAGCUAAUUUCCUGUUUAUGUCUCAGCAUUACAUGGGAAUUGUGGGUAAUAAUUUGUUCCUUCUGUGAAGGAGGCAUGUUUUCCACGAGGGGCAUGAAACUCCUCAUGGAAUUGGGCCAAAUCCAUGUAUAUACUGUAAUUGGUAUGAUUCAAGGAAAUGGUUGUCAUUUCAUGGCUCUUAGUCUGAUUUACCACCCUGUUUUCUCUGAGAAACCUACACAGAAAAACAGACCAAUCACCUUCACAUGACCUUGGGUCUUUCAGGAACUGGCCAAUCUGAUGAAUAAAAUAGAGUGAUGGUCCAGGGCACUCCGGCAACAGAACCUCCACCUAUGUUCCCAGGUCAGUUCUUAUACCUUCGCUCCACUGUGGCUGAGUUUUUAUACGUCACAUCAGUUCUUAUGCAACUCAAUUCUUUCUAGCUUGACCUUACGUUUCUGAAGAAGGUUGAGGUUGGAUAAAUCCAGAUGGAGGUUCGAGAAAUGGCAGGGCUAAUGGCCUAUAUGUACCCAAUGGAGACAACCUCUCUGCUAGACUGCUUUCUAGAGCCAGUACUGUUGGUGUCUGCCUGCCUAUCCUCCUACUUACUGGCUCUGCUACUUGUGGUGUCGUCUGAAUUAGCAGUGACCUUCGAGAAAGGUGUAGGAAAAACGAAUGAUGUAGCUAUAUGUAUUUUUCACAUAUUCUAUAUGCAGUAUGAGAUUACAUUUACUUAAUCGGGAGAAAAAAAAUACAUUCCACUGGUCACACACUGUUUGAAUUGUAUUUUAAUUUACCUCUUUAUUUAGGUUGUUGGCAUGACGUUGACACAAUGACAUUGAUUCAAACAUACCAUUUUAGUAUCAACAUUGAAACAAGGUCAAAUAAAAUGUCAUAUGAAUCAUGUGAAAUUCAACAAUUUCAACCACCCCAAUAUACUGUAUAUUGAAUACAGGAUGUGGAAUUUAAAAUGCAAUUUCAACAUAUACAUAGUUCUGAUGAUUAGGUUGAAAUUAGAUUGAUGUAACAUCCUGUUAGUCAGGUUAAGAAAUUGUACAAGUUGAAGUUCUACCCAAAUUUCAAUGUUUACGACGCUGGUUAAAAUGAGAUGAAAACAGUACUGGUUGACUUUUUGCAAAUCCAAAUGUGUUGUCCACGUCAAAAUAGGUUGACAAAUGAAGUUGAAACAACGUUUAUUCAACCAGUGUGUGCCCAGUGGGAUAGUUUACGUUAUAAAUUCAGACAAGUCGGAUUUUUUUUAAAAAGGAAAAAAAAGAUUGUCAUAUACACAGAAUCUGAUAGUAUACCAACAUGGAAUAAAACAACAAUUGGUUAUAACUAUAUAGAAGGCCAGUAUUAUAGGAUCCAGUACUUUGUAAAGAUAAUGUCUGAUGGAGAAAUGAAAAUCCCACAUCAAUGGACACUUGAUAAAAUGAGAUUACAAAUAAUCUGUGCUUUUCAUCAGCAAGCGAAUCAAUUAGAUUUCUUCCAAAAAAUAACACUAUCAUAAAACUGGUCGUUUGGCUCCAGGAUCCCUGCUAACAGUCCAUCAUGACAUGUUCAUGUUGCUGUCAGAAUCAUCUCGUCUUUAUCUCAACUUGCUUCCAGACUAGAAUUUAUUUAGAUAUAGCAUGGGUUAAUAUUAACCUUGCCUGACCGACCUUGGCAACAAUGUGUAACUCUUAAAUUUCCAUCUCUGUAGUACCAUACAUAGAGUGAAAGGUGCCUAGACGAGAUCACUUUUUCUGACCAAUGCAAAAAUCACACAUCAACGUCAUUAUCAGGGACAAAUCCAAGUAAAUACCAAUAGAAAACAGCUCAAACAAACGAAAAUGCAGCUAGUGUACUGUCAUCCCAGGCUCAAUGUUUGACGUGACUGAACUGAAGUUGGCUAGCUAGGGACACGAACGUUAUCCAGCCUGCAUAGCAACCAUUUUGUUUAGCAGAACAGACGACCGUCCUUUUGCAUAGCAACUACGCAAAAAAAAUAAAAAAAUAACGACUGGUACUCAUCUGUAGCAACAUGACCGAAAGAACCAAGCAGAUUUCUGUCCGCACUAUAUCCUAUAUCUUCUGGUGGAAGAAUGAGAUUUUAUAUAUUCACUUAUCAAAAUAAAGUUAAUGUAAAUAUGUGAGUCAUUGUUAUUUUAAUAUGUUGGUAACACAUUUCUAAAAGCAAUAAGGCAUGCAAGGCAGUGCUGCAUCAUGAAUAGUCACAGGCAAAUGGGUUGACUCAGUUGUAGCGUUGGGCCGAACAACGCCAUUUACCUGUGACUGUAUUCAUGAUACACCACUGCCUCUUGUGCCUUAUCACUAACUAAACACUCAGUAUUCAUUCAAAAUGAUGUGCUUGUUUCAAACAUCAAUGGAUCCCUAAGGUGCCCCCCUUUUAAGAUAAGCAGAGCCUAAAUUAACAUACUAUACCGCUUUCACACUAGUGAGCCGAGCCCAGCAGUACUGCACUGACCUGGUUAACAUUCCACCCGAGUUGCUGGAAAGGACAAUGUCAAAGGAAAAUACGAGCCAGGAGACAGAUGGGAUCAG